rnacentral:lncRNA from 1 species
GAAGUCGGCUGCCAGAGGAAUCAUCCGAGCAGCGGAAUCAGCUGGGCAGAAGGUACAGAAAUGCCAGAGCAGCGAAGUCGGCUUUGCCAGAGAAAUCAAGCUGCCAGCGGAAUCAAAGUGCCAGAGCAGCGAAGUCGGCUUUGCCAGAGGAAUCAUCCGAGCAGCGGAAUCAGCUGGGCAGAAGGUACAGACGGGGCAGAGAAGAAGAGUGCAGAGGAUGUAGAUAAGGAAAGAUAUCCAAAACCUUAUCCCUUGAGGUUUGGAUAAGAACAAAUCAGCCUCCAGAUCUGGAUGCAAUCGUGGGCAGGAGGAGCCCUAAUUCCAGCCCACUCCUUUUGGGCCCAGCCUGUGUAGCCCUAACUCAUGCCUAUAAAUACCACAUGGCUGUGAAUCAUUCGGAGGAAGGGAGAAGAGAG